UUCAACAGCGCCCAUGAUCGUUUGCCUUCCAACGCCACGAAAGCGCAAACCCAACCAACCGCAAGGCAAAGCGAAGCAAGCGACGACGCCAGGCAAAACCAUUCCCCCUCCCCGGUUCCCCCGCCCGCCCCGGCCCCCCUCCUCCGAUUAGAGACCCGGUGUUCCGACGCGGCGGCGGCGACGGCAUGAGGACGGCGGCGGUGCCGGCGCCGGAGGCCCACCAGUCGCGGCUGCUCUACGAGCUCUGCGCGCUCCUGCUCACCAUCCUCCGGCCGCCGGGGGAGCACGGGCCGCGGCCGUGGCCGCGGCAGGUUACGGCCGCGGGGGCGGCGUCCAUGCUGCUGGGCGCGUCCGUGGCGCUCAUGCUCUGCGGCUCGGUCACCUUCAUGCUCGGCUUCUUCCUCAUGCCCUGGGUCGUCGGCCUCGCCUGCGUCUUCCUCUUUGUUGGCUUCGUCACCAACCUCUCCGGGAUCGGGAGGGCCAUCCUCUGCUGGCCCGCCGCGUACUCCUCGUCCCCCAAGGAAGCUUCCACAUGAGACAAGAAAAAGAAACUUCAUAUCUUUGGCUAAUGUUGACGGAACACGGGUAGGGCCUUUAGGAAAUAAAAGUUUACAAGGAUUGAUGAUCUUGCCGAAAAAAAGGGCAUAUAUUUCCCAAGCCUCCAUUCAUGCAGAUGUGAAGCCGAACACGGAGUAGACUCCCCACAGAGAUGUAUAGAAGCAGCCGAGUUUGGGCAGCACUGUCGUGGUUGCGUGAACUAUAUUUUCCUUGCCGGGCAACUUUCACCAUGUAACUGUCAACUGUGCUACAAGUGUUAAGUGGUUUUAUAGGAGGGUACUUCUUGACAGAAAACUUUGUGCAUAUGGGAAGAGUGUCUGGUUUAGUUAUCACAUGGGGCUUGUAAUUGUUUCAGAAAUGGAAAGCCUUUCUUCACAACAUAAUUGCGGAUUCCAUAUUCGGAUAUGUUUGUAUCUUACUGUUGCUCCAUGCCUCCAUUUGUGCUGGCUUACUACUGCUCGAGAUGAAUCACUGCAAUCUGCAUAUUUUGUUCA